GAUCAUCAUAAUUUUUAGAGUCAUCUGGAAAGUUUAAUUGAAAUUUAAUUUUUCGCGAUUCGUAAGGGCGUGUUUGGCCCUCCUUAUUUGUGAUAAAGCUUGUAUAAUUAAAUAUAUAGGUGUGUAUGAGUUAUAUAAGUGGUGAACUCAUACUUUUGGAGUCAAAAAACAAAAUAUCUAAAGAGAGAGAGAGGAAACCGUGAAAGGGAGAGAGGGAAGAGAGACAACUUUCCCAACAUCCAUGGAGGCUUUGAAGAUGAUGGAAGAGAAUUGAAGGAAAAGAAAGAAGAUCACCCAUGGGACUUGGAGGAAUUGAAGAGAGCUAAGAGAUAGACAAAGAUUAAGUUAGGUCGAGACGAGGACAUCGUCCUAUUACUACCGGGAGCUGAUCACUGUAAUUACUUUGGGAGUCCGUCUUGACCCUUGAUGCUAACCCUCCAAU